UGGCUGUGAUGUUUUUGAUCCCCUGUGCAUGCAUGCUUGUUCCUCACUGGCUCUGAAAUGAAGGGGAUGUGAGCUCAGUGUUGAGCCCCAGUUCAGAGUUCUGCAGACGGGGUGGCCAAGCAUCCUGCGGGGCUUGUGGCUCCGAGUCUGACCUGGAGAGCGUUCCAGAUCUGUAAAGAUGUGCCCUCAGCCGAGAAGAGUCCCAGACGGACGC